rnacentral:lncRNA from 1 species
CGGCACACACGAUAAACAGGCGUUUUGCAAGUGUCCCCCUCAUAAAAUAAAGCGAAAAAAGUUUGAAUAUUUUUUUUUCCUUUUUGGGUUCUUUGGAAUAAUGUGUAAAUUCGGGACAAGAUACCUUGGGUCGAGUCUGUAAUUGCAUACGACUUUGCAAAAGACCACCGCCGAAAAGAACAAGUUAAUUCUGUUUAAUAUUAACGUGAAUCUUUUUUGUUUCGAGUACACAUCGUCUCAUAUAAAGGAAACAAAUUGAGAGGUAGUCCCGGGGAGGUAGUUAGCCC